CAGGCACUGCUACCCCUGGGCGAGGGGGUCUCCGUUUUCCAAAUCUUGCUUUUUCACCACUGGAGCCCACCUUCUUAUCCUCUUAGGUUGCCACGAAACAUCCAAUAUUUGAAAGUGUUCUAUGGACCUCAAAGGGCAAGAGACACCUUAAAAUGUUUGCUGGAUGGCGGUAGGAGGAUAGAGCCCUAGGCUCUGCUGCUCAUGUUCAUGGAGUCCCACGGCCACCAGGCCCUUUGAAUCUCGAGUUUCUGGCUUCAGAUGCCCCCAGGUUUCCAGAAGUCAAGAUUUCUAACAAAUGGACCCAAACCCCAAGCCAGCACCUGGAAGUGGCAGCAACACGGCUAUGUGGACCCCGGUGCUGGGAACCUUCUGGAGGCAGCUGGACACAGGGGCUGCCGGUGCGGAGAGGGACACUGCUCAUUUUGACAUUUCAUCUGAAUAACGUUCCAAGUGUUCUAAUGAAAGCCUCUGUGCUCCCUUUGAAAUACUAGCAAUUACAAAGAUGAAUAAUUGCAUGAUAAAUAUUAAUUUGCA
rnacentral:lncRNA from 1 species